rnacentral:rRNA from 1 species
GACGAACGCUGGCGGCGUGCUUAACACAUGCAAGUCGAACGAUGAUCUCCCAGCUUGCUGGGGGGGAUUAGUGGCGAACGGGUGAGUAACACGUGAGUAACGUGCCCUGGCCUCUGGGAUAACCUUCCGAAAGGAAGAUUAAUACCGAAUAACAUGAGAAAGUUGCCUGAUUCUAUCAUGCAAGCUCCGGCGCUGAAGGAUGGGGAUGCGUUCCAUUAGGUAGUAGGCGGGGUAACGGCCCACCUAGCCCACGAUGGACAGGGGUUCUGAGAGGAAGGUCCCCCACACUGGAACUGAGGCACGGUCCAGACUCCUACGGGAUGCAGCAGUGAGGAAUAUUGGUCAAUGGACGCAAGUCUGAACCAGCCAUGUCGCGUGAAGGAUGACUGUCCUAUGGAUUGUAAACUCCUUUUAUAUGGGGAUAAAGUGUGAGACUUGUCUCAUUUUGCAUGUACCAUAUGAAUAAGCAUCGGCUAACUCCGUGCCAGCCGCCGCGGUAAGAC